AAUUAGACGAUGAAUAAAACGAAGUAGUGGAUAAAGCCAAUGUUUCAGAAAGCUAGUGGUUGCUGUGAACUAGUACAUGCUUUAGCGCGAAUUACAUUUUAGGAGUCUAUGGCAUGAAGCCACGCGACAGCGUUAAAUGUUAGAGAGAUAUGUUUGGAAAACAAACAUAUAAUUUGGGUGGUACCGCGAAUUUUCGUCCCUUGA
rnacentral:ncRNA from 1 species